UACGUAGGGGGCAAGCGUUGUCCGGAAUCAUUGGGCGUAAAGAGCGCGUAGGCGGCCCUGUAAGUCCGCUGUGAAAGUCAAGGGCUCAACCCUUGGAUGCCGGUGGAUACUGCAGGGCUAGAGUCCGGAAGAGGCGAGUGGAACUGCGAGUGUAGAGGUGAAAUUCGUAGAUAUUCGCAAGAACACCAGUGGCGAAGGCGGCUUACUGGUCCGGUUCUGACGCUGAGGCGCGAAAGCGUGGGGAGCAAACAGG
rnacentral:rRNA from 1 species